GAUGAACGCUGUCUACAGGCCUAACACAUGCAAGUCGAGGGGAAACGACGGGGACGCUCGCUUCUCCGGUUGUCGACCGGCGCAUGGGUGACUAACGCGUAUCCAACCUGUCUCUGACUGAUGGAUAACCCGUCGCAAGUCUGCCUCAUACCUCAUUGCUUCGUCUCCGGGCUUCAUACUACGAUUAAAGAUUUCUUCGGCCAGUGAUGGGGAUGCGUCUGCUUAGCCUGUUGGCGGGGUAACGGCCUUCCAAGGCUACGAUCAGUAGGGGUUCUGAGAGGAAGGUCCCCCACAUUGGAACUGAGACACGGUCCAAACUCCUACGGGAGGCAGCAGUGAGGAAUAUUGGUCAAUGGGCGGGAGCCUGAACCAGCCAAGUAGCGUGCAGGAUGACGGCCCUAUGGGUUGUAAACUGCUUUUAUGCGGGGAUAAAGUGAGGGACGUGUCCUUCAUUGCAGGUACCGCAUGAAUAAGGACCGGCUAAUUCCGUG
rnacentral:rRNA from 1 species